AUUUAUAUAAUAUAUUUAGUAUAUUUGACUUCCAAUCAAAAAGUUUUUUAAAAAAAAUAUAA
rnacentral:tRNA from 1 species